AUUGAACGCUGGCGGCAGGCCUAACACAUGCAAGUCGAACGAGUGGCGGACGGGUGAGUAAUGUCUGGGAAACUGCCUGAUGGAGGGGGAUAACUACUGGAAACGGUAGCUAAUACCGCAUACCAUCGGAUGUGCCCAGCUGGGAUUAGCUAGUAGGUGGGGUAAAGGCUCACCUAGGCGACGAUCCGUAGCUGGUCUGAGAGGAUGACCAGCCACACUGGAAGGGGUACACGGACCAGGGGCCUGCGUGACGCAGCAGUGGGGAACAGUGGACAGCGGGCGCAAGCCUGAUGCAGCCGUGCCGCGUGUAUGAAAAAGGCCUUCGGGUUGUAAAGUACUUUCAGCGGGUGUACGUUACCCGCAGAAGAAGCACCGGCUAACUCCGUGCCAGCAGCCGCGGUAAUAC
rnacentral:rRNA from 1 species